CUACGGGUCGCAGCAGUGAGGAAUAUUGCACAAUGGGGGGAACCCUGAUGCAGCAACGCCGCGUGGAGGAUGACGCAUCUCGGUGUGUAAACUCCUUUUAUAUGUCAAGAAAAUGACGGUAGCAUAUGAAUAAGCACCGGCUAACUCCGUGCCAGCAGCCGCGGUAAUACGGGAGGGUGCAAGCGUUACUCGGAAUCACUGGGCGUAAAGGACGCGUAGGCGGGUUGGAAAGUCAGGUGUGAAAUCCUACAGCUUAACUGUAGAACUGCACUUGAAACUUCUAAUCUAGAGUAUGGGAGGGGGAGAUGGAAUUAGUGGUGUAGGGGUAAAAUCCGUAGAUAUCACUAGGAAUACCUAAAGCGAAGGCGAUCUCCUGGAACAUUACUGACGCUAAGGCGUGAAAGCGUGGGGAGCAAACAGGAUUAGAUACCCCCGUAGUC
rnacentral:rRNA from 1 species